rnacentral:tRNA from 1 species
UUCCUGGUAGCCUAGUGGUUAAGGAUCUGGCAUUGCCAAUGCUAUGGUGCAGGUUUGAACCCUGACCUGGGAA